CUUUGAUUUCCUUAAUUUACUAGCUCUUAUAGCUCUAUCAGCAAAUUCAGUAGGAGACAGUGUAUUGCAAUUAUUACAAACUAAACUCUGGAGCCUGACUAUGUAGGUUAAAUUCUGUUUGUCACUUACAAAAAUCACGUGCUGUGCUCUUAGGCAAGAGGCUUGCCCUCUCUGUGCCUCAGUUCUCCCAUCUCUAACACGGAGCUGUUGACAUUGUGUGGCAUGGUUGGUAGAUUUAGUAGCUUAAUAUAUGCAAAGCUCUUAGAGCAGCAUUU
rnacentral:lncRNA from 1 species